GAUGAACGCUGGCGGCGUGCCUAAUACAUGCAAGUCGAGCGAACAGACGAGGAGCUUGCUCCUCUGACGUUAGCGGCGGACGGGUGAGUAACACGUGGAUAACCUACCUAUAAGACUGGGAUAACUUCGGGAAACCGGAGCUAAUACCGGAUAAUAUAUUGAACCGCAUGGUUCAAUAGUGAAAGACGGUUUUGCUGUCACUUAUAGAUGGAUCCGCGCCGCAUUUGCUAGUUGGUAAGGUAACGGCUUACCAAGGCAACGAUGCGUAGCCGACCUGAGGGGGUGAUCGGCCACACGGGAACUGAGACACGGUCCAGACUCCUACGGGAGGCAGCAGUAGGGAAUCUUCCGCAAUGGGCGAAAGCCUGACGGAGCAACGCCGCGUGAGUGAUGAAGGUCUUCGGAUCGUAAAACUCUGUUAUUAGGGAAGAACAAAUGUGUAAGUAACUAUGCACGUCUUGACGGUACCUAAUCAGAAAGCCACGGCUAACUACGUGCCAGCCGCCGCCGUAACAC
rnacentral:rRNA from 1 species